rnacentral:misc_RNA from 1 species
UUCCUCAAGUACUGGGAACAU